rnacentral:rRNA from 1 species
CCUACGGGAGGCAGCAGUGAGGAAUAUUGGUCAAUGGACGAGAGUCUGAACCAGCCAAGUAGCGUGAAGGAUGACUGCCCUAUGGGUUGUAAACUUCUUUUAUAUGGGAAUAAAAUGUUCCACGUGUGGGAUUUUGUAUGUACCAUAUGAAUAAGGAUCGGCUAACUCCGUGCCAGCAGCCGCGGUAAUACGGAGGAUCCGAGCGUUAUCCGGAUUUAUUGGGUUUAAAGGGAGCGUAGGUGGAUUGUUAAGUCAGUUGUGAAAGUUUGCGGCUCAACCGUAAAAUUGCAGUUGAAACUGGCAGUCUUGAGUAGAGUAGAGGUGGGCGGAAUUCGUGGUGUAGCGGUGAAAUGCUUAGAUAUCACGAAGAACUCCGAUUGCGAAGGCAGUUCACUGGACUGCAACUGACUCUGAGGCUCGAAAGUGUGGGUAUCAAACAGGAUUAGAUACCCUUGUAGUC